CGUGCUUCUUAAUCAGUUUUUCUUAACUAUUGUUUUGUUGCUAUUGAAAAUGUGCCUAUGAAUUAAACGUUCCUGGAAUUUUAUUUAUUUUUAAGUUUGCUGUUUGCUUAUAAAAACUCUCGACUAGUCUAAAGUCGUCAGUAACACAGUUUUCUCUUUGACGGAACAACUGACUUUCAAAAAAAACCAAAUAUGAACUUCGUUUCGUUCUUUUUUUUCGUCGGCCUUAUCCUGAUCAUCAACAUGGCACAAUCAGAGGCUUUAGUAAUCGACCUAGUUCAAACGGUGGCAGACAAAGUUAAGGACAUUGCAGACUCGGGAUUGGGAACAGUUAAAAACGCAACCAAGUGCAUCAUACCCAUAUGAGGACCAAUCUCUGCUGUACUAUGUUGUACUUUUCAAAACAUGUUUUGUAAAAAGAAAAUAAAUGGUUCCAUUUCAUUCAAAC